GACGAACGCUGGCGGCGUGCUUAACACAUGCAAGUCGAACGGAAAGGCCCUGCUUUUGUGGGGUGCUCGAGUGGCGAACGGGUGAGUAACACGUGAGUAACCUGCCCUUGACUUUGGGAUAACUUCAGGAAACUGGGGCUAAUACCGGAUAGGAGCUCCUGCUGCAUGGUGGGGGUUGGAAAGUUUCGGCGGUUGGGGAUGGACUCGCGGCCUAUCAGCUUGUUGGUGGGGUAGUGGCUUACCAAGGCUUUGACGGGUAGCCGGCCUGAGAGGGUGACCGGCCACAUUGGGACUGAGAUACGGCCCAGACUCCUACGGGAGGCAGCAGUGGGGAAUAUUGCACAAUGGGCGGAAGCCUGACGCAGCAACGCCGCGUGCGGGAUGACGGCCUUCGGGUUGUAAACCGCUUUCGCCUGUGACGAAGCGUGAGUGACGGUAAUGGGUAAAGAAGCACCGGCUAACUACGUG
rnacentral:rRNA from 1 species